UGUACAGACUGUAAAGCCCGCUGAGGCAAAUUUGUAAUUUACAAUUUUGGGCCACACAAAAAAAAAUCAAUUCAAUUGAAUAUCAUAUUUGUGGUAUCGUCAGAAGUAUCAUGAUAUUUAUGGAAGGUAUUGUAUUGAAGUCAUCAUUUGGUACCCUGACAACCCUACCCUGAUUUAAAGUGUCAGUAAACGGAUAUAAAGCAGUAGUGUGUUCACUGGACCAAGCGGGUCACGUGUAUGAAGGUCAUGGGGAGGAACUUACCAACGGCAUCGUGAGUCCCAAGUUUGGGAGCAGUUUGGCUUCGCUUUAAGAUAAAACCAUUACGGUAUGUCGGCAUUGUUUACAAAGACAGCCAUACGAACACGGCACCACGUCGAGCGUGCCCACACAUCUGGAUCCUGGUGUAUCAGUGCCAGGGACAGACUACUCACAAAACCCAUUCAAUGGGCCGACAAGACACACAUGGUUUAAAUAUACUGGCACGGUGCAGGUGAUUGGACACAGCUAACCAGGGACACGAGAGGCAGAAAACAGGAGCCAAACAGUAUCUUUCUGAAAAAUAAGUGGGUGGGCAGAUUUUACACAUUAACUUUACAUGUUUUGUUUCUGUUUGUUUUGGUUCACAGGACUGGUCAUGGAUGUGUAUGCUGAUCUCUGCCGUUCAUUUGGACUUCCUGUGUGGAUAGCUUCCUUGCUCCACGCUGCCAAACGCCUGAAGAGUGACUGCGCCCGUCGCAAGAAGGUCUACAGGCUCCUGCAAAGGAAACUGAUGUACACGGGGUCGGUGUGAAGGGGGGGGAUCGGUGCCACCCCACAUACGUCUACCCUGAGGAGGUGAAACAGUUGAUUCGUUGUGUGUUCUCACAGGACAUCUGUGACUACCCCGACCCCUGCCACG